rnacentral:rRNA from 1 species
GGGGACAACAGCCAGAAAUGGCUGCUAAUACCGCAUAGGCCUGAUGUACUCAUGGCACAGCAGGGAAAACCACGGUGGUACAGGAUGGGCCCGCGUCUGAUUAGUUAGUUGGCAGGGUAACGGCCUACCAAGACAACGAUCAGUAGCCGGCUUGAGAGAGUGGACGGCCACAUUGGGACUGAGACACGGCCCAGACUCCUGUGGGAGGCAGCAGUGGGGAAUAUUGCACAAUGGGGGGAACCCUGAUGCAGCAAUGCCGCGUGGGUGAAGAAGCACUCCGGUGCGUAAAGCCCUGUCAGCAGGGAAGAAAAUGACAGUACCUGGACAAGAAGCCCCGGCUAACUACGUGCCAGCAGCCGCGGUAAUACGUAGGGGGCAAGCGUUAUCCGGAUUUACUGGGUGUAAAGGGAGCGCAGGCGGCGUGGCAAGUCAGAUGUGAAAACCCGGGGCCCAACCCCGGGAGUGCAUUUGAAACUGCCAUGCUGGAGUGCCGGAGAGGUAAGCGGAAUUCCUAGUGUAGCGGUGAAAUGCGUAGAUAUUAGGAGGAACACCAGUGGCGGAGGCGGCUUACUGGACGGUAACUGACGCUGAGGCUCGAAAGCGUGGGGAGCAAACAGGAUUAGAUACCCUGGUAGUCCACGCCGUAAACGA